rnacentral:pre_miRNA from 7 species
AAGAAAUGGUUUACCGUCCCACAUACAUUUUGAGUAUUGUUGUGGGACGGUGAACCGCUUGUU